CCCGGUGGUUUAGCAAGUGGGACCCACCUGAUUCCAUUUCGAACUCAGAAGUGAAAACGCUUAGCGCUGAUGAUAGUAUGAUUGUUUUCAUGCGAAAGUAAGUCACCACCGGGA
rnacentral:rRNA from 2 species